CCUACGGGUGGCAGCAGUGGAGAAUCUUGGACAAUGGGGGCAACCCUGAUCCAGCAAUGCCGCGUGGGUGAAGAAGGCCUUCGGGUUGUAAAGCCCUUUCGGCAGGGAAGAAAUCGGCGGGGCGAAUAACCCUGCUGGAUGACGGUACCUGCAGAAGAAGCACCGGCUAACUACGUGCCAGCAGCCGCGGUAAUACGUAGGGUGCGAGCGUUAAUCGGAUUUACUGGGCGUAAAGCGUGCGCAGGCGGCCCGUUAAGACAGGUUUGAAAGCCCUGGGCUCAACCUAGGAAUUGCGCUUGUGACUGGCGGGCUCGAGUACGGUAGAGGGGGGUGGAAUUCCUGGUGUAGCAGUGAAAUGCGUAGAGAUCAGGAGGAACACCGAUGGCGAAGGCAGCCCCCUGGGCCUGUACUGACGCUCAUGCACGAAAGCGUGGGGAGCAAACAGGAUUAGAUACCCUAGUAGUCAG
rnacentral:rRNA from 1 species